GAUGAACGCCGGCGGUGUGCCUAAUGCAUGCAAGUCGAACGCGUUGGCCCAAUUGAUUGAUGGUGCUUGCACCUGAUAGAUUUUGGUCGCCAACGAGUGGCGGACGGGUGAGUAACACGUAGGUAACCUGCCCAGAAGCGGGGGACAACAUUUGGAAACAGAUGCUAAUACCGCAUAACAACGUUGUUCGCAUGAACGACGCUUAAAAGAUGGCUUCUCGCUAUCACUUCUGGAUGGACCUGCGGUGCAUUAGCUUGUUGGUGGGGUAAUGGCCUACCGAGGCGAUGAUGCAUAGCCGAGUUGAGAGACUGAUCGGCCACAAUGGGACUGAGACACGGCCCAUACUCCUACGGGAGCAGCAGUAGGGAAUCUUCCACAAUGGGCGCAAGCCUGAUGGAGCAACACCGCGUGAGUGAAGAAGGGUUUCGGCUCGUAAAGCUCUGUUGUUAAAGAAGAACACGUAUGAGAGUAACUGUUCAUACGUUGACGGUAUUUAACCAGAAAGUCACGC
rnacentral:rRNA from 2 species